GAUGAACGCUGGCGGCGUGCCUAAUACAUGCAAGUCGAGCGAACAGAUGAGGAGCUUGCUCCUCUGACGUUAGCGGCGGACGGGUGAGUAACACGUGGAUAACCUACCUAUAAGACUGGGAUAACUUCGGGAAACCGGAGCUAAUACCGGAUAAUAUAUUGAACCACAUGGUUCAAUAGUGAAAGACGGUUUUGCUGUCACUUAUAGAUGGAUCCGCGCCGCAUUAGCUAGUUGGUAAGGUAACGGCUUACCAAGGCGACGAUGCGUAGCCGACCUGAGAGGGUGAUCGGCCACACUGGAACUGAGACACGGUCCAGACUCCUACGGGAGGCAGCAGUAGGGAAUCUUCCGCAAUGGGCGAAAGCCUGACGGAGCAACGCCGCGUGAGUGAUGAAGGUCUUCGGAUCGUAAAACUCUGUUAUUAGGGAAGAACAAAUGUGUAAGUAACUAUGCACGUCUUGACGGUACCUAAUCAGAAAGCCACGGCUAACUACGUG
rnacentral:rRNA from 1 species